rnacentral:rRNA from 1 species
CGCCUCUUGCUUCAAUGAAUAAGAGGUCACGCCUGCCCUGUGACUAUAUGUUUAACGGCCGCGGUAUUUUGACCGUGCAAAGGUAGCGCAAUCACUUGUCCUUUAAAUGUGGACCUGUAUGAAUGGCAUAACGAGGGCUUAGCUGUCUCCUUUCUCAAGUCAAUGAACUUGAUCUCCCCGUGCAGAAGCGGGGAUAAAACCAUAAGACGAGAAGACCCUAUGGAGCUUUAGACAAAAAACAGCCCCUGUCAAUAAACCCUAAAUAAAGGGAAUAAACCUAGUGAACCUGUUUUAAUGUCUUUGGUUGGGGCGACCGCGGGGUAACAAAAAACCCCCAUGUGGAAUGAAAACACCCUUUUUAAACCCAAGAGUCACCACUCUAGGAUACAGAACAUCUGACCAAUAAUGAUCCGGCUAAAGCCGAUUAACGAACCGAGUUACCCUAGGGAUAACAGCGCAAUCCUCUUUUAGAGUCCAUAUCGACAAGAGGGUUUACGACCUCGAUGUUGGAUCAGGACAUCCUAAUGGUGCAGCCGCUAUUAAAGGUUCGUUUGUUCAACGAUUAAAGUCCU